rnacentral:rRNA from 1 species
AUCUAUGGCCAUGCCACGCUGAACGUGCCCAAUCCCGUCUGAUGUCAGAAGCAAAGCAGGGUCGGGCCUGGUUAGUACUUGGAUGGGAGACCACCUAGGAAUACUGAGUGCUGUAGGCG